AUGUCUGACAUGUGGUCUCUGGAGAGGAUGCUGAACCGGACCACUCUCUCCACACAGAGGCUGCUCCACACACACAUCCUGGGUGUGGGACAGCAGUUUCUUCCUCCCAAGUCUUCCUCCACAAGCCCCAGCCAAGCCCCAGGGCUGGCCUCUCUCGCCCCCCAGUUGGAGAAGCCUGAUGUGGGGGCCACACAGAGAGAGUAUCCCUGGAUGGAAGAAAUUCUGGAAAAGGCUGAGAAGGAUAAAGGGAGUGCCCUGAAACAACAGGGGGAGGAGGAGAGAGAGAGGAGUGUUAGGGAGACGGAGCUACGAGUCCAACGGCAGUGUGAACAAGAGGCUCAGGAGGACCGAGAGGCUCUCCAGGAAAGACAUGCAGUGGAACUUUGCCGAAUGCAGACCAGGCAGUGGCAGCUGGAGCAGACUUUGUCCCGGGUCACAGGGGAGAAGAUGCGAUACGAAACAGAGUUUAAGAGAUUACAGUGUAGCUACAGACAGUUUGUGGAUCUGACCGAGUCCUCCCUCCACUCCGACUACCUGUUGAAGCUCCGUCACCUUGGUCGAGAGCCUGGAUACACUGAUGUGGGCGUUCAAACGGAUGAUGUCAUCAACGAGGGACACCUUCCCGGAUCAACUCAGUGAUGCAUCUUCCUGCUGCUCGAGGCAGGGGUACUGAGACACGUGCCUUUUGGAUCAGCUAAUUGUUUGCAAUCUUGAUCUGAACUAUUAGCUGUUAAAGUGUAACUCUGAUCUUAGAUCAGCACACAGGAACAUUAUCUGUCACCUUGGGCGUUCCAGUGGAGCUCCCAGAUGCCUCUGCUCUGUCAUCAGGAAUGUGUCCAUAUAGGGAAUGAAAAUUAUGCCACAAUGUAUUUAGAAAUAAAUCAGAUUUUCAAUUGAAUAUGUUGUCUUGUGAAUUUACUUCAAUCUGCAUUGAUUACAAGCAUAUUUC
rnacentral:lncRNA from 1 species